AUCAUCAUGGUGACUUGCAAGCAACUCACUAUGCUUUGGUGUCAGACUAUCUGAAUUUUUAAUUCAGGAUCAAAAGGUUUCUAGGCACAGUCAAGUAUUUAUGAAGUUGGUGCGUGAGUCAAGAUGGAAUUGACCACUCUAAGAGAUUUGAGAGAAUGCUUUGUGUUUCUUACUCCUUGACUAGGGCAAUCUUUGUGAGUCACAG
rnacentral:lncRNA from 1 species